UACGUAGGGUGCGAGCGUUAAUCGGAAUUACUGGCGUAAAGCGUGCGCAGGCGGUUCUGAAAGUCAGCUGUGAAAGCCCCGGGCUUAACCUGGGAAUUGCGGUUGAAACUACAGGGCUAGAAUCUGGCAGAGGGGGGUGGAAUUCCACGUGUAGCAGUGAAAUGCGUAGAUAUCGGGAGGAACACCAGUGGCGAAGGCGACUACCUGGCCUGUUCUUGACGCUGAGGCGCGAAAGCUAGGGAGCAAACGGG
rnacentral:rRNA from 1 species